rnacentral:rRNA from 1 species
AGUGAACGCUGGCGGUAGGCCUAACACAUGCAAGUCGAACGGCAGCACAGUAAGAGCUUGCUCUUACGGGUGGCGAGUGGCGGACGGGUGAGGAAUACAUCGGAAUCUACUUUUUCGUGGGGAUAACCGAGGGAAACCUACCCUUAUACCCCAAUACACCUACCGGUGUAAGCCAGGGGUCUUCGGACCUUUCGCGGUUGCAUGUACCGAUGUCGGAUUAGCUAGUUGGCGGGGUAAAGGCCCACCAAGGCGACGAUCCGUAGCUGGUCUGAGAGGAUGAUCAGCCACACUGGAACUGAGACACGGUCCAGACUCCUACGGGAGGCAGCAGUGGGGAAUAUUGGACAAUGGGCGCAAGCCUGAUCCAGCCAUACCGCGUGGGUGAAGAAGGCCUUCGGGUUGUAAAGCCCUUUUGUUGGGAAAGAAAAGCAGCAGGUUAAUACCCCGCUGUUCUGACGGUACCCAAAGAAUAAGCACCGGCUAACUUCGUG